rnacentral:lncRNA from 1 species
GAGUGGUCAGUGCUGCAGUGGCGACUGCGCAUCGUGAACAAAUUUUCGCAUCUGAAACCAAUCAUCAAGAGUUUCGCGGGCCAAAGUCGGGACGUUUUACGGCCCUUGCAGCAUAUGGGACAACUAUGCAAGAAGUCCGGAAGCAAAUGCAAUGGCGUCACCGUGUGCGCACUGCUGAACACGUCAUGUCCGUUCUCGACGAUGUCGGAGCACACUGUGCACCGCCUCAGGCUUGGCGAUCAGGUGAUGGCUUGGAAGCAGAGUCCACAGGAUGCCAGUGGCUUGCACCAACACCUGUACACUCUCAGGACGCCGGUCAGAGGCUGCGUAAAAUAUGUGGACCUGGAAUUCGGUUCCUGGAAGCAAGUGUACGAGUUUG